UAGUCACCCACUCCUCUCCUCUCGAGCCUCAGCCUCCACUCUCACCAGUUCUCACUCCUCUCAGCCUAUGUUCUGCUUGCCCAAAUCAUUCACUCUCCCUUAUCCAACCCUAGCUACUCUUUUCGACCCACUGCCGCCUCUCCGUCGAGCCACUGCCGCGUCCGUCCGUCGAGCUCGGCCACCGUUCGUCCGUGUAGCCACUGCACCCAAGUCUCCAACUCCCCUGCUCUCUUCUUCCGCGAGCUCGCCCCAUCCCUUACUCUUUGCAUCUUCUUGCCAUCAGCUUUAUCUUCUUGCCGUCGUGUGGUCGGUGUCGUCCAUCAAUGAAGGGUCUGUCGGCGUCGCCUUCGAAGGACAAACUCUAGCGAUGGCUCAAGGCAGGAGAAAUAUGGAAUGACUAACAAACCCCAAGGAGAGCCUAAGGAUGCGCAACGAUCGAACAAAGGUGAAAGAGGUGUCUUCCGAAGUAUCAAAGUAUAUCCACUGGAACCAAAUGACAAGAGACUUAAUUAUGAACCACCUACAGAUUUACUUAGCAAGCUGUCCCUGGUUUCUGAAGUGAAAAAACCUGCAAAACUGCCAUCUAAGGUGCAGCCAAUUUCCUAGGUUCAGCUAUCUCAGCACUCAUAUAACAACUUAAGAUUCUUUUGAGUGGGUAAAGGCAUGGUGAUUCCUAUUG